AUAUCAAUAAGCGGAGGAAAAGAAACUAACAAGGAUUGGCCUAGUAACGGCGAGUGAAGCGCCAAUAGCCCAACUUGAAAAUCUCCCUUUGGAGAAUUGUAGUCUAGAGAAGCGCCCUCUGCGGCGGCCGGGACCUAAGUUCGCUGGAAGGCGGCGUCAGAGAGGGUGAUAACCCCGUCGGUCCUAGGCUUAGCUGCUCCACGAGGUGCUUUCCAAGAGUCGCAUUGUUUGGGAAUGCAGUGCAAAAUGGGAGGUAAAUCCCUUCUAAGGCUAAAUACUGACGAGAGACCGAUAGCGCACAAGUA
rnacentral:rRNA from 1 species